UCUUCGGAAUUAGAGACCGGCGCACGGGUGCGUAACGCGUUAUGCAAUCUACCUUUCACAGAGGGAUAGCCCAGAGAAAUUUGGAUUAAUACCUCAUAGUAUUAUGGAGUGGCAUCACUUUAUAAUUAAAGUCACAACGGUGAAAGAUGAGCAUGCGUCCCAUUAGCUAGUUGGUAAGGUAACGGCUUACCAAGGCUACGAUGGGUAGGGGUCCUGAGAGGGAGAUCCCCCACACUGGUACUGAGACACGGACCAGACUCCUACGGGAGGCAGCAGUGAGGAAUAUUGGACAAUGGGCGCAAGCCUGAUCCAGCCAUGCCGCGUGCAGGAUGACGGUCCUAUGGAUUGUAAACUGCUUUUGCACAGGAAGAAACAACAUUACGUGUAAUGUCUUGACGGUACUGUGAGAAUAAGGAUCGGCUAACUCCGUGCCAGCAGCCGCGGUAAUACGGAGGAUCCAAGCGUUAUCCGGAAUCAUUGGGUUUAAAGGGUCCGUAGGCGGUUUNGUAAGUCAGUGGUGAAAGCCCAUCGCUCAACGGUGGAACGGCCAUUGAUACUGCNAGACUUGAAUUAUUAGGAAGUAACUAGAAUAUGUAGUGUAGCGGUGAAAUGCUUAGAGAUUACAUGGAAUACCAAUUGCGAAGGCAGGUUACUACUAAUGGAUUGACGCUGAUGGACGAAAGCGUGGGUAGCGAACAGGAUUAGAUACCCUGGUAGUCCACGCCGUAAACGAUGGAUACUANCUGUUGGGAGCGAUCUCAGUGGCUAAGCGAANGUGAUAAGUAUCCCCCUGGGGAGUACGUUCGCAGAAUGAAACUCAAGGAAUUGACGGG
rnacentral:rRNA from 1 species